GAUUUCAUCAACGGUGCUGAAGUUGCAUCCCUUUUGGACUGCAUCCGUCUCACUGCAGGACCCUUGCAUGCUCUUGCUGCUGCAACACGGCCGGCACGAGCAGCUCCAGUUUCUGGUGUUCCUGGUGUUACAGCGCCUAUGUCUUCUGUUGCAAAGCAGACUAGUUAUGUUCCAUCUUUACCAAGCAAUGUAAGCAGUAGCAUAAAUCAGCCUGCAUCCGGACCCGGAGUUAAUGCGGCCGGCACGGGCAGCUCCAGUUUCUGGUGUUCCUGGUGUUACAGCACCUAUGUCUUCUGUUGCAAAGCAGACUACUUAUGUUCCAUCUUUACCAAGCAAUGUAAGCACUAGCAUAAAUCAGCCUACAACCGGACCUGGAGUUAAUCCAGUUUCAGCUACUGUGGGUGCACUUGGCACGCAUCCUAGU
rnacentral:lncRNA from 1 species